GCUAAACGCGAAGAACCUUACCUAGACUUGACAUGUAGUGGACCGCACCAGAGAUGGUGCUUUCCUUCGGGACCAUUACACAGGUGCUGCAUGGCUGUCGUCAGCUCGUGCCGUGAGGUGUUGGGUUAAGUCCCGCAACGAGCGCAACCCUUGUCGUUAGUUGCCAACAGUUAGGCUGGGAACUCUAACGAGACUGCCUGGGUUAACCAGGAGGAAGGUGAGGAUGACGUCAAGUCAGCAUGGCCCUUAUGUCUAGGGCUACACACGUGCUACAAUGGUCGGUACAGAAGGUAGCGAACCCGAAAGGUCAAGCAAAUCCUAGAAAGCCGAUCCCAGUUCGGAUUGUAGUCUGCAACUCGACUACAUGAAGUUGGAAUUGCUAGUAAUGGCGAGUCAGCAAUAUCGCCGUGAAUACGUUCCCGGGUCUUGUACACACCG
rnacentral:rRNA from 1 species